UAGGGAAUCUUCGGCAAUGGACGAAAGUCUGACCGAGCAACCCCGCGUGAGUGAAGAAGGUUUUCGGAUCGUAAAACUCUGUUGUUAGAGAAGAACAAGGACGUUAGUAACUGAACGUCCCCUGACGGUAUCUAACCAGAAAGCCACGGCUAACUACGUGCCAGCAGCCGCGGUAAUACGUAGGUGGCAAGCGUUGUCCGGAUUUAUUGGGCGUAAAGCGAGCGCAGGCGGUUUCUUAAGUCUGAUGUGAAAGCCCCCGGCUCAACCGGGGAGGGUCAUUGGAAACUGGGAGACUUGAGUGCAGAAGAGGAGAGUGGAAUUCCAUGUGUAGCGGUGAAAUGCGUAGAUAUAUGGAGGAACACCAGUGGCGAAGGCGGCUCUCUGGUCUGUAACUGACGCUGAGGCUCGAAAGCGUGGGGAGCAAACAGG
rnacentral:rRNA from 1 species